rnacentral:rRNA from 1 species
UACGAAGGGGGCUAGCGUUGUUCGGAAUCACUGGGCGUAAAGCGUACGUAGGCGGAUCGUUAAGUCAGAGGUGAAAGCCUGGAGCUCAACUCCAGAACUGCCUUUGAUACUGGCGAUCUUGAGACCGGGAGAGGUGAGUGGAACUGCUAGUGUAGAGGUGAAAUUCGUAGAUAUUAGCAAGAACACCAGUGGCGAAGGCGGCUCACUGGCCCGGUACUGACGCUGAGGUACGAAAGCGUGGGGAGCAAACAGG